CAGCGCCACAAGUGGCGAUCAUGUUUAUUUGGCCUAAAGCGUCCGUAGCUGGUUAAGUAAAUCUCUUGUGAAAUUGUUUAGCUUAACUAAACAGCGUGCAGGAGAGACUGCUUAGCUAGGGACCGGGAGGAGUCAGAGGUAUGCUGGGGGGAGCGGUAAAAUGCAAUAAUCCUCGGUAGACCACCUGUGGCGAAGGCGUCUGACUAGAACGGGUCCGACAGUGAGGGACGAAAGCCAGGGGAGCAAACCGGAUUAGAUACCCGCGUAGUCC
rnacentral:rRNA from 1 species